rnacentral:rRNA from 1 species
GAUGAACGCUGGCGGCGUGCCUAAUACAUGCGAGUCGAGCGAACGGACGAGAAGCUUGCUUCUCUGAUGUUAGCGGCGGAAGGGUGAGUAACACGUGGAUAACCUACCUAUAAGACUGGGAUAACUUCGGGAAACCGGAGCUAAUACCGGAUAAUAUUUUGAACCGCAUGGUUCAAAAGUGAAAGACGGUCUUGCUGUCACUUAUAGAUGGAUCCGCGCUGCAUUAGCUAGUUGGUAAGGUAACGGCUUACCAAGGCAACGAUGCAUAGCCGACCUGAGAGGGUGAUCGGCCACACUGGAACUGAGACACGGUCCAGACUCCUACGGGAGGCAGCAGUAGGGAAUCUUCCGCAAUGGGCGAAAGCCUGACGGAGCAACGCCGCGUGAGUGAUGAAGGUCUUCGGAUCGUAAAACUCUGUUAUUAGGGAAGAACAUAUGUGUAAGUAACUGUGCACAUCUUGACGGUACCUAAUCAGAAAGCCACGGCUAACUACGUG